AGGGCAGUAGCUCAAUUGGCAGAGUUCCGGUCUCCAAAACCGGCGGUUGGGGGUUCAAAUCCCUCCUGCCCUGCAA
rnacentral:tRNA from 1 species